AAAUGAAUAGACGGGGGCCCGCACAAGCGGUGGAGCAUGUGGUUUAAUUCGAUGCAACGCGAAGAACCUUACCAAGGCUUGACAUGGAGAUGACAGGUAUAGAGAUAUACCCUCCCUUCGGGGCAUCUCACACAGGUGGUGCAUGGUUGUCGUCAGCUCGUGUCGUGAGAUGUUGGGUUAAGUCCCGCAACGAGCGCAACCCUUAUCUUUAGUAACCAUAGCGUAACAGCAGGCACACUAAAGAGACUGCCGUGGAUAACACGGAGGAAGGUGGGGAUGAGGUCAAAUCAUCAUGCCCCUUACGUCUUGGGCUACACACGUGCUACAAUGGCCGCAACAAAGUGAUGCGAAUACGUGAGUAUAAGCCAACCACAAAAAAGCGGUCUCAGUUCGGAUUGUAGUCUGCAACCCGACUACAUGAAGUCGGAAUCGCUAGUAAUCGCGAAUCAGCAUGUCGCGGUGAAUACGUUCCCGGGCCUUGUACACACCGCCCGU
rnacentral:rRNA from 1 species